rnacentral:rRNA from 1 species
UACAGAGGUGGCAAGCGUUGUUCGGAAUUACUGGGCGUAAAGGGCGCGUAGGCGGCCAUCUAAGUCAGACGUGAAAUCCCCCGGCUUAACCUGGGAACUGCGUCUGAUACUGGAAGGCUUGAGUAUGGGAGAGGGAUGUAGAAUUCCAGGUGUAGCAGUGAAAUGCGUAGAGAUGCGGAGGAACACCGAUGGCGAAGGCAGCCCCCUGGGAUGACACUGACACUCAUGCACGAAAGCGUGGGGAGCAAACAGG